rnacentral:misc_RNA from 1 species
GAUGAAGAACGCAGCGAAAUGCGAUAACUAAUGUGAAUUGCAGAAUUCAGUGAAUCAUCGAGUCUUUGAACGCACAUUGCGCCCCCUGGUAUUCCGGGGGGCAUGCCUGUCCGAGCGUCAUUGCUGCGCUCAAGCACGGCUUGUGUGUUGGGCUCCGUCCCCCCGGGGACGGGCCCGAAAGGCAGCGGCGGCACCGAGUCCGGUCCUCGAGCGUAUGGGGCUUUGUCACCCGCUCUGUAGGCCCGGCCGGCGCCAGCCGACAACCCAUCAUCCUUUUCAGGUUGACCUCGGAUCAGGUAGGGAUACCCGCUGAACUUAAGCAUAUCAAUAAGCGGAGGA